rnacentral:rRNA from 1 species
UACGUAGGGUGCAAGCGUUGUCCGGAAUUAUUGGGCGUAAAGAGCUCGUAGGCGGUCUGUCGCGUCGGCUGUGAAAACCCGAGGCUCAACCUCGGGCCUGCAGUCGAUACGGGCAAACUAGAGUACUGCAGGGGAGACUGGAAUUCCUGGUGUAGCGGUGAAAUGCGCAGAUAUCAGGAGGAACACCGGUGGCGAAGGCGGGACUCUGGGCCGAUACUGACGCUGAGGAGCGAAAGCGUGGGGAGCGAACAGG